GAUGAAGAACGUAGCGAAAUGCGAUAAGUAAUGUGAAUUGCAGAAUUCAGUGAAUCAUCGAAUCUUUGAACGCACAUUGCGCCCGUCAGUAUUCUGGCGGGCAUGCCUGUUCGAGCGUCAUUACGCCCCUCAAGUCCCCUGUGGACUUGGUGUUGGGGAUCGGCGAGGCUGGUUUUCCAGCACAGCCGUCCCUUAAAUUAAUUGGCGGUCUCGCCGUGGCCCUCCUCUGCGCAGUAGUAAAACACUCGCAACAGGAGCCCGGCGCGGUCCACUGCCGUAAAACCCCCCAACUUUUUAUAGUUGACCUCGAAUCAGGUAGGACUACCCGCUGGACUUAAGCAUAUCAAUAAGCGGAGGA
rnacentral:misc_RNA from 1 species